UUCUUUCCACCUCGGCCGCUUUUAUUCCCUCUGCCACCAGUAUUACCUCGGCCUCUACCACGGAACCCGCCUCGACCACCUUUCACAACUCCUUGUUGGUUUUGCUGGCUGCCAGACAUAAACAAUAUGAUAUGAUAAGAUGAUAAAACCGAUGAUCUGCUCAUAUAAAUGCGAGCUCAAACUCUUUGACACUUACAUUGGAAGGUGUCUCCCAGAAGGACCUGAACCUCUUCCUCUUCCUACUCUCCCACCUCUAAUUCCUUGUCUGAAAGAAUCAGUGACUCGUCAAUACAUUCACUUCAGCGCAUAAACUCAAAUUAUUCUCUUGUAAAAAAACAGACCAAGAGAUGGCAACAUACCCAAUGAAAACACUCCUCUUCAUCCUUCCAUUCAAUCCAGUCACAUUAACACGAGCUGCAACAGGAGCAGCCUCAGCACUUCCACCCAAAAUCUCCAGUCUCAUAGGCCUUCCAUCCAAGAGUACAUUGUUGUAUUUCCUCAUAGCUUGUAAUGCAUCACUUCUUCUCAUAUACACAACUUCAGCCGAUCCCUGUAUGACACAGAACAUCAGAUACCAAAUAUUACAGCACCACGGUAAUGAGCGGAAUAAACCAUAGCAAAAAGGAAACAGAACUUACACUUGGACGCCCAUUUUUGUCAUAGUGAAUUGCAUAUCUUUUCAGCUCUCCAAUCUCAGUAUAGAGUUCCUAGAUUCCAUAAGGAUAUUACAAACUAACUUCAGAAAUCUCCACAGAACCAAAACAACAGAAGCACUGGAACAUAGAUGUUAGGCUAUACCCUUAUAUCUUCGUUUGUCACUCCCUGAUCAAGGUUGGUAAUAUAAACUGUGGUUCCGACUUCCACUCCCGAUACCCCAACAGCUCUCAGGCUUUCUUCAAGCAAAUCAUUCUGAUUCUGCCAUGGCAAGCUCCUCUUCCUGCGGGCAAGCUAGUCCAGUAGAACAGAUCAAGUCAGCGAAAAGGAUCUGUAGAAUCUUGAAGCCACGCAUUAAUCAACAAAUUUCUUUUAAGAUGAGAAACCACCAAUUUGCCUGAAAGUACUAAACCAGUCAAGGUAAAGAGCUCCAGGACGUAGUAGUAAAGAACCAUCGAAGGAGAAACCAAAUGAAAUGGGCGGAAACAUGCAAUUUUGACCAACUUCAUAUGAAUCACACUGGCGCUAUCAGUCAGUCUCUGAUGCCAAAAACAAAUUCCUUGUAGCAAGGAAAUAAAAAAACUGAGACUGCCAUCAAACUCCGAAGAAAUUCCAGAUGUAGCAAGAGGCCAAUCAUGAACUUCAUGCAUUGUGCAUAUACCCCCACGUAAAGAGAUAAACGAUCAAGGAUCAUAUUUACUAUUAAGUGAAAUUUCUGAACUUCCCCCCUAAACACCGCAAGACUGCACAUACUAGGCAGGCCUUUCCCCGUGUUGCUUAAAAGAACAACACCAGAUAACCCUAUGUGGACUACUUAGCUUACUGGAGCUCUUUAGUGACACUAUCAACAAAAACUUCUCCGCAUCUAUACAUGCCUGUUGAAGUCCCCAGAAAUUAAACCAUAUAAACGACUAAGUACACCGACACUGCAGGUCUAAGAGAAAUCGUCUCCAUAAACUACAAGAUGUUAGAAGAUCCUUGUAAUCUGUGUUUCAGGAAUGAUACAGUAUCCUUCCAGAAUCCAGACGAAGUUUUUGAGUGCUAAAAAAAUGUGUACGAGAGCAUCAAUCUUUUAAGUUCUAGCAUGAUUCCGAAACGCUUCGGUAUUUGGUGGCACAGAAACACAUAGAACAUCCCAGAUUAUGAGCUUGCCUUGUUUAUCGAGAAGGAGGAAGAUGGCCGAGCAUUAACAGCAAGAGGACCUCUACGAACAGGUCCACCUCCUCUUCCAGCUCCUACAACACCAUUAGGUCCACCACGUCCACGUCCACGGCGCGAAACUCCUUUACCUCCAGAUCUUGCAGCUGCAGACCUUGCAGACUUACUCUUCUUGACAAUUUCAUCAAGAGUCAUAUUCAAAGCGUCUGACAUCUUCAAUCCAAUAAAAUCAAACUGGCCUAUUUUGAUACCUGAACAAAUUAGGGUAAAGACAAUAACAAUUAGCCUCAAAUACACAAAUCAAGAACCUCACCGGAUUAAACGAUGAAUCACUGAUUAGUGGAACAUAUGAAUCAACGGAUUCCUAAAACCUAGAACACGAUUGUCAUAAACGAUACCGAGAAAACAAAAAAUCACUGCAAAGAAAUUGACGAAGACUCGUAAUCGCAUCUCAGAAACAUGGCUCAAAGCUCUAGAUCUAGAUUCGUAAUCGAGAAAGUGAAAAAUAAUCGAAAACAAUCGGAAAAAUUAUACGCGAAAUCAUCUAAAGAAGAUGAAUCAGGAAUCGAAACUUUACCAGAUUAGGGAAACAAGGCAGAUCGGAGAAGAUCGAGAGAUCGGCGUUUAGGGUUUUUGAGGAAGCUUUUGGGGAUUUUUUUCUUGUAACCUUUUUUCUUUGAGAAUUUGAUGAUGGAAGGGGAAAAAUAGCUUGUGAUUGUUAAUGGAGAGGAAAAGGAUUUUAUAUAUAGUUCUAGGUCAGCGGGGUAAAUUUGUAAAUUAACUUGAUUUAGGGGGCGUUUUGCAUCUUUUAUCAAAAUUAGACAAUUACCAAAAAAAAAAACAAAAGGAAAGAUUGCCAGCUAAUGCGUUUCCGCGUUUAGUUAAAAAUAGUUUAUAAGAUAAAGACUAUACUUUUCUAAAAUAUCAAAAAUGCCCCAGAAUGUUUUUUUAUUCUAAUCGAAGUUUGAUACUACUACAGUCGGGAAAACAGCCAAAAUCAACCUAUUCUAUUUGCAGGCAACAUUUUUUCAACCCGAAUUCUAAACGGCGUAGUUUAGUAUUCGUUAUUAAAACAAAGAACCAACAAUUGUUAAACGUCAUUGUUGUGUCCAGCCCAAAUGCCACGUGGUCGCCAAGGUGUCGCUGAUUCAGCAUAAAUUAACGGUCUCUUGACGCCGUCAAGAAAGAUGUUAAAAUUGGCUAAUAGUUACAGAGUGCGUUUGUAAUUUGAAUUUUUUUUAAGUUUGGAUUGAUAAAUACAGGGGUUUGAGUUCGGAUUGAAAAAUGCCGCUUGUAAAUAGUUUGGGUUGAUUUUGGCUGUUUUUUUAUAUUACCAUUAAUAUGCAAUUUAUAACAUAAGAAUUCCCAAUUUAAUAAACAAAUUGCGUUAUCGCUGAAACAUUAUGAAAAUGAGUUGGCCUUUAAAAAUUCCGGUUCUUGAAUUUUUUGUUUUUCCAAAAAAAAAUUCUCGAAAAUCAAUUUUUACAUAAUAUUUUGGUUUUUAUUUUUGAGAAUAAAUCGUUUUUGAUAAAUUAACUGUAAGACAUAAUUUGAGGAUUUUAUUAUCAAACACAUACGACACAGAAUUUGAAUUUCCCAAAUAAUGAGUGUAGUUCUCACCUGAUUUCUAGUGUUCCUUAAUCUCUCGGUUUCAAAACUCUUGAAAGUUGGUUCUAUUUACUUUUAUUCAAAGGUUAAUGAGUUUUUGAAAACCGUACUAUGAAAGAAGAUGUUGGUUAGUGCGAAUAAGGAGUGUGAUGGGGACCAUGGGGUUUACAUCUUUACAGGAGUUCUCGGCACACGAGCACAUAUCACAAUAUAUUCUGUUUCUAUAUAUACCAGGUUAUGAACCCGCGAUAUCGCGGAGAAACUCAUUUUCAACAAAUAUAUUUUAUUACGUUUAUGUAUUAAAUUAUUAUUAUAAUAUAUUCAAAUAAUUGAAUUAUUAUAUAAAAUUAACUAUGUCUUAAAGUUAUAUCGUAAAUAUUUUCUAAAGAUAUUAAAAAAAAAUAUGAAUAAAAAUGUAAAAAAAAAAUUAUGAUUAAAAACACUUUUGAAACAUUUUUUGUGACAAAAUAGCUAACGAAGAGUUAUAAUAUAGAGAGAAAACAUUCUAGCGGGUCAAAACCAAAAAAAAUAUAAAAACACAACCAGAAAAAUAACUGUCAACACAAAAAAUAACCGUCAAUAUUUUAACGAAGAGUUGCGAUAAAAAGACAUAACCGAGAAAAAAUAACCGUCGAUAUUUUAACGAAAAGUUGCGAUAAAAAACACAACCGAAAAAAAAUAACCGUCAAUAUUUUAACGAAAAGUUGCUAUAAAAAGACACAACAAAAAAAAUAAAUGUCAACAUUUUUACGAAAAGUUAUGAUAAAAAGACACAUCAGAAAAAAUAAUUGUCAACGAAAAAUGUAACCGUAAAUAUUUUAACGGAGAGUUGCGAUAAAAAGACACAACCGACAAAAAAUAACAGUCAAUAUUUAAACAAAAAAUUGCGAUAAAAAGACACAAACGGAAAAAAAUAACCGUCAAUAUUUUAACGAAGAGUUGCGAUAAAAAGACACAACCGAGAAAAAUAACCGUCAAUAUUUUAACGGAAAGUUGCGAUAGAAAGACACAACCGAGAAAAAGAAACCGACGAUAUUUUAACGGAAAGAUACGAUAAAAAGACAAAAACAAAAAAAGAAACUGUCAAUAUUUUAACUGAAAGUUACGAUAAAAAGACAUAACCAAAAAAAUAACCAUCAAUGAAAAAUUGUAACCGUAAAUAUUUUAACAAAGAGCUAAGACAAAAAGAUACAACCGAGAAAAAAUAACCGUUAAUAUUUUAACGAAAAGUUGCGAUAAAAAGACACAAACGAGAAAAGUAAUGUUAAUAUUUUAACGGAAAGUUGCGAUAAAAAGACACAACCAAAAAAAUAAUCGUCAACGAAAAAAAGAACCGUCAAUAUUUUAACGAAGAGUUGCGAUAAAAAGAUACAAACGAAUAAAGUAACAACCAAUAUUUUAUCGGAAAUUGCAAUAAAAAGACACAACCGAAAAAUAACAGUCAAUAUUUUAAUGAAGAGUUGCGAUAAAAAACAUACCCGAAAAAAUAACUGUUAAUAUUUUAACGGAAAGUUACGAUAAAGAGACACAACCGUUCAGAAGUGCAAAAUGCAUUUAUUGAGGUUGUUAUUUUGGUUAAUAAAGCCAAUUUGAUAUGUUGUCUAAUGGUUGAUGUAAAAAAACUUCGUAGUAUUACUAACUAUACAAAAAAUGCAAUGAAAUUAUAUAAUGAAAAGACGUAACUUUAAAUGAAUAAAUGCAACUAUAAAGAUAUAACUGUAAACUGAAAAGAUACGACUGUAAUUGAACAAAUAUAACCGUAAAUAAUUCAACGAAAAUUCAAUAAAAAAAAUAACCGAUUUAAACGAAAGGUUGCGAUAAAAAACGCAACCGUUCAGAUGUGCGAAUGGUAUUUAUUAGAUUGCUAUUAUAUAUAGAUUUUUGUCUUGCCGUUUAGGACAUCCUUUGAACAUGGUUUUCUCUAAUUUAUCGAGAUAUGUUGUUGAAAUGAAAGAUGCGGACCACUUGAUUAUUUGAGACUCCUACUGAUCUAUUGAAGUAGAAAAUGUAGUAUGAGAUAUUGUAUUGGAGUACACCACCGUUUGAUAGGCCACGAUCGAAUAAAUUGGAUGGUACGAUCGAACGCUAUAAAGUGCGUCUAGUUUGUCCUUCGUUAUCACUAAACAGAAGGAAAUGACUACAAAAAAAAAAAAUAACGUUGGGCCUGAUUGAAAACCAAUUUCUUGAAUUAGAUAUCGAAUAGGUUUACAUUUCAUAUUCCAAGUGACAAAAGAGAUAUCUCAACUUGCUGGUCGUCCUGUUUUAAAAUCUAAACUAUUUAACUUCACAUAAGGAUAAUGUUGUUAAAAUUAAAGCAAUUUUGAUCUUGUAAAAUAUGCUAGAGACUGAAGGAAAACAAAAUACUUUUAUUAUUAUUAACCAAGAUCUUCAUGAAUCAUGGUCCAAUCACAAACUAAAACAUAGAAAACAAACAUUGAACAUAAAACCAAAUCCUCAAAAUAUAACUUAAAGCUCAUCUCUCUUGAUCGCGGAUGGACGAACACCUUGAGCGAGGAAAUCUUUGUAAUACUUGGCUGAUUCUUUCUCAUAACGUGUGAGGUUAUUUUUGAAAUCGACGUAAUAGAGUCCGAAUCUAUUAUCCAAAGUUAUCCAACAAUGACCAUACAAAGUAUCCCGUAACUCUCACCAUCUUGCCAUUCAAAGUUAUCCAACAAUGACCAUACAAAGUAUCCCGUAACUCUCACCUUGUCGAUGCUGCGCAUACACAAAUUAAAUGUUCUUAGUUAGAUCAUUCAAUAGAAUUGUUAGUCUAUCAAAUAACAAAUAAUAAAAUGCUUACCAAAUAGCCUCGUUCAUAGCCAGAAGAUGCCUCUGAAGAUAAUAUUUCCUGUUAUGAUCAGCAGUACCAACCUCAACCGAAUCUUUGUCCCUUAGUUUGUCUCCAUAUCCUAGAAAAACAACAUUAAGAUCAAUAUAUAUUACUCUAAACCUAAAUAAACACACAAAUAUAACAAUAAAUCUCACGAGUUACCAUUUUCCAUAAUCAUAAUUUCCGGGUUUGCGUAUUUAUCCUUGAUGUACUUUAAAAGACUUCGAAAACCUUUAGCGUAGACGGGCAAUGCAGCAGUAAGAGGCUGAAAUAAAACAAUGGAGAAAUGUAUAUUAAUGUUUAGUUGUUACAACAAUCUCAAACUAGGACUAGUUUAAUUAAACGCUUAAUUAUCGCUUAAUUACCUGACUACCAAUGGCGCUGUGAUCGACAUUCUUAGCUGAAAAAAUAAAAGUGAAAAUGUAUACAUAUCAAUUAGUAGUUCAAAAGAGGAACAAACAUAUUUUCUUCUAGUUUCUUGGUUUGGUUUUCAUGUAAGGAAAAAAAAAACUUACGUUCCCAGGCAACAAGAGAAUCUUGCUUCCAACUUGGUGUAGACGGAUCAGGCUUCUCAUUAUGGUUUGAAAAUGUUGAAGUAUAGUAGUUAAGUCCUACGAAAUCGGUCGAAUCUUUCAAUUUUGCUUUUUGCGCAUUCGUAAAUUUAGGCAAUCUGUGGCCAAGAAGGUCUUUCAUGAUUUGUGGAUAAUCUCCAAAAGUAGUUGGGUCUAGAUGCCUACAAAUAAUAAUCAGAACUCCAUUAAUUAAAUUAAUGAAACUAUACUAUACGAGAACUCAUUGUCUAACAAAAUAUAUACUUACCAUCCCAACAUAAAGUCAAGUACACGGCCGACAGUUGGAGUGUCAUUUGAAUCUUUAAGGUCAUGUGGUUCGAACCAAGCCGGACUAUGUGCGAUUCCGAUUUUCCCACCUUUAACCUAUGUCCAUAAACACAACACAAAACAAACUAUUUUCAAAUCCGAAAGCUGAUAAUUAAUUGUGAUUUAUAUCAAAUGUAACUUACCUUUUGGCGGAAAACUUCAACAGCUUCUGCGUGAGCGUUGAGGAGGUUGUGACUGACUACAUAAGCCUCAUAACCGGAUCGUCCAUCUCGGUCUUCGCAACCUUUAACGUAACGAGAACAACGUCCUGGUGCCUUCUUGCCUACGUCGUAACCUGCAUGAGCGAAGACCCAUGGCUCGUUGAAAGUGAUCCAGUUUUUCACUUUUCCACCGUAUUCUGUGAAAACAAAAUCUGCAUAUUCCCGGAAAUCUUUUCUGUAUUUUUGCAAAAAAAAAAAGAUAUUAAGUUAAUAAAUUCUACUUGGACUGUCCGAGAAACUUAAUGUAUUUCGUUUAAUUUACAAAAACAUACACAAUGUUUUGGCUUAAGAAACCGCCAUAUUCGUCUUCUAAAUCUUGUGGAGUGUCCCAAUGAAAAACAGUCACGGAAGGAAGUAUGCCUGGUUACAAUGUAAAAUAGAAAGAAAUGUUAAAUAAUGAUACCUUUUUGCUUCUUUUUUUGUUAAGUAAUUAGUUUAUAUGUAUACUAACCAUUUUUUAGGAACUCAUCGAUGAGGUCAUGGUAGAAUUUCACACCAGAUUGACUCACUCCCUUCUCCUUUCUCCCAUCUAAUAAAACAUUAGUUGUUUCAUUAGUUAUUGAUAUUUCAACAAUCACAUAAAUCUAAAUUCACCAAAUUCAGAUUAUAAAUUAAACUAGAGAUCUUUAGCACAUAUAUAUACUCACGAGGAAAUAUUCUUGACCAUGAGAUUGAGAGUCUGAAUGCGUCUGUGUUUAGAUUCUUCAUUAGUUGAAUAUCUUCCUACAAACAUUUUUCAAGACGAGACAAAUUUUCAUUAACAUCUCCUAUAAAAUGGACAAGGCUAUAGAAACUUGAAUUAAAGUUACAUUAAUAAUAACGAUGGAAGAAAUCAACGGCCACAUCGGCGUUGUGGCCACUACAUCUCUCUGUAAUUUAAAAGUAAAGAAAAAGUGAAUGACUAUUCAUUGAUAUUAAUAAGUUAGUUUAAUUUAAUAUCUAAACAUAGAUUAUACGAGCACUCACCUGGAUUUCUCCUACAAAAGAUAUCCCAUAGAGCCGGUCCACGGCAAGUUUCAUUAAUUGCACCUUCAACCUAAUGACAUAACGAAAAUAGUUGAUGAGUUGAUGAAAUAUUCACAUGCACCAAUGAUCUUAGUUGAUAGGUUUUAUCACAUAUUUCGAGCAUGAAAACUUUUAUAUAAAAAUUCAUAUUUAGAUGGCUAAACAAUAUUAACGAUACUUUUUUUUUUUUUUUUUUUAAGCUAUGCUUUAGUAAAUAUGUUGUACCUGAAACGCAGCAGUAGCCGUGCCAAACAAAAAACCGUUAGGGAAACUUGCUCGGCUUAGUUUGGACGUAGUCGGGCAAACAGGAUCAUCGACGGCUAUUGUCGAAGAGACGACGAUGGUUAGGAGCAAAAGCAGCCCCAUGAGAGGAAACUUUUGCAAUGCCAUUUUGGUUUUAAUGUUUUGUCUUGUUGAAAAAAAUAAGUUUAUGGUGACUGUUAAUUUACAUCUAAAACGGAGUUCUUUAUAUAGAGAUUUUGAUUGUUUGGUAAUGAGUGACUAAACUAUAAUUGUUUAGUAAAAUUAUUUUUUAAAUAGAAUGAUUCAUUGCAUAAUCUCGAUCAUUGUGUUCUUGCUUUCUUUGAAACAUAUUAUAUUAUGCGUGGGAUGUAUAAUAUAAAAACGUGUCUUUAAAUAAAUAGUGUUAUGUCCAAAAAAUAAAGUUCUCAAUCUUUUGUUGCAUCUGCUUCUAAAUAAUAUGGCUCAAUUUUUACUGGCUAAGAUAAGUCUACUUCAAAACUCCGGCAGUAUAAAGUACGAUGAUCUCCUCAUACUUUGGUUUAUGCAUAACUGAUGACUUGAUGUAUAUAAUAAAGAAUUUUUUGAUGAAUAAAAUUUCAAAUUCAUUCCAAAAAAAAAAAUAUUAAGGCUCAAUUUUCUAUAUUCGAAUAGUAUCAUUCAACUCAUUUCUCUGUAAAUUAGUAGAUGAAUGAAUUUAAAAUUGAGCCUUAUAUUUCCUUUAUGAUUUGUACAUUUUUCUACUCUUUUUAGUUGAAUCAAUUAAAUUAUUUUUCCAACUUAUUCAGUUCAAGUGGUAAAAGAUUUUUUUUUUUUGGUAUGAAGUUCAAGUGGUAAAAGAUUAAUAAAUGUUCAUUCAACUCUUUCAGUUUUUUUUUUUUUUUUUUUAAAUUUAAAUCAACCAUUUUUAAUCCCAUAUAAAUUGUUUUGUAGUUCACAGUAGCUAAUCAAAGAUUAAACCUUAUUAUUAAAAGAACAGUAGCUAAUCAAAGGAUCUCUCAUCUAAUGUCUUCUUUUUGAUAUGCCAACCAGGCUUCGUUAAUCUUUUUUUUUUUUUUAAAUUUUGUAUUGUAUAGAUCCAGAUCGAGUUUUGGAUCGUAUCUUUUUUAUCCCACUAUGAUAUAAUACAAUUUUUUAAAUAGGAGGACUCAUUCCAUAUCGUUGCAUUAUUUUUUUGUUAUUCAAUAUAUAACCCACGUGUCUAAACUAUAAACUAAACUUUUAUAUGUUAGUUAUAAAAAUUUUAUAUGUUAGUUAAAAAUUUUAGUUAUAAAAAAAUCGACCCACGGUAUACUGCGGAGUAAAAUAUUCAAAAUUUUAAAAUCUACCAUACAUCAUUACUUAAAAAAUGUAUGUUUUCGAAUCUAUACUUCAAAAAUUGAAACCUAAACAAUAGUAUUCAUACACUAAAUAAUACAUAGAUAGAUAUUUACAUUUAGAAAUACAAAUUAAUAUGAUAUAUUUUCAGUUAAUCUUUUAAAAAAUAACAUUACAUUUUUUAAAAAAAUAAUAACCCCACGGUGUACCGCAGGUUAAAUUCUAGUUAUUAUAUAUUUUUUAAAGACUUCAUUAUAAGAGUAUCUUAGACAUAAAUGAGAUGAUUUUUGUCCAUUUUUAUAGAAACAAACAAAAAAAAUAACAAUUUUUUUUUGUGGAUGAAUUUUUUUUUAAAGUCCCACAAUUAACUAGAAAUAGAAUAGUUAGGAUUUAGCAGUUUUUAUUUUCUUAAAAAACCUCAACUUUUUUUGUUUUGGGCCUCAAAUAUUACCGGGUUGGCAUCGAGUAGGGGACACCAAUUCUUAUUAGAAUCAUAUAGUUAGUCACAUGUUGAUAAUACUUGUAGAUAAUAGCUUACGGUUAAGGGCUCUGGAAUGUCCGGUUUAACCACCUAAAUAAUCAUCUAAUUAAGGUGAUUUCAUUGGUUUAAUUCUGGUUUAGUUGGUUUGUUCACUAUACAUUGUUGUAACAACCUUUCUUGAUCAUUAAUGAGAAUCAGAGAUUUCACCAUGUUUCUCUCUCGAUCCAUGGUUACUAAUAUGGUAUCAGAGCAUUUUUUGCUUGCGUUUCUCUGAAUUUCAUCGAUUUCUCAUUGUUUUUCUUCAUCUUCUUCGUUUUUCACCGGCGGAUUGUUGCAUCGAUUCCAGAUUUGUGUCAAAUUUGAGCUUAAACGGAGCAGAAUCACCUUCUGAGCUUCUGAUUUAGCUUCUUAUCGCACAUUUGAGCUUCGAUUCACUCGUCAUGGGGAAACAAAAGAAGAAAACACCAAAUCGGAACAAAUCUCCGGUCUCGGAGUACUCUCCGAUGAAGACUCGAGCUGGAUCUUCGUAUCCAGUGGCCGAUGACAUCGUGGAUGCUCCUUCUCUUACUUACACGGCUGCGCGAGACAAGAUUCAAUCGAUUUCCGCAGAGAUUGACUCGUUUGCUAACGCGCAUAGUCCGUUCUUCCUUCACUCUUCUGAUCAUCCAGGUCUGUCUAUUGUCUCACACAUUCUUGAUGGAACAAAUUACAAUAACUGGUCAAUUGCUAUGAAGAUGAGUUUGGAUGCAAAGAAUAAGCUGAGUUUUGUUGAUGGAUCUCUUCCGCGACCUGAAAUUGAUAAUCGUAUGUUCAAGAUAUGGAGUAGGUGUAAUAGCAUGGUUAAAGCAUGGAUGUUGAAUGUAGUGAAUAAGGAAAUAUAUGAUAGUAUUCUAUACUAUGAGGAUGCUGCUGAGAUGUGGAAUGAUCUUUUUCUGAGGUUUCGUGUCAGUAAUCUUCCACGCAAGUAUCAGUUAGAACAAUCUAUUCAUACCUUGAAGCAAGGUAACUUGGAUUUGUCAACUUAUUACACCAAGAAGAAAACACUCUGGGAACAAUUGGCUAAUACUAGAGUUAUUUCGGUGAAGAAAUGUAACUGUGAUCAUGUUAAAGAAUUGAUUGAAGAAGCUGAAACUAGCAAGAUCAUACAGUUCCUUAUGGGCUUAAAUGAUAGUUUUGCUCAUAUCAGAGGACAAAUUCUAAAUAUGAAGCCAAGACCAUGUUUGACUGAGAUAUACAACAUGCUUGACCAAGAUGAGAGUCAGCGGAUUGUAGGAGGUUCUCAUACUUCUAUUCUCUCCAGUCCGGCUGCAGCAUUUCAGGUUCAAGCGUCACAAACAUCUGACCAGUCUCAUGUCAACUUGACUCAAGGUUCAUAUCAGAAGCCUAAAUGUUCCUACUGUCACAAGCUUGGUCAUACUGCUGACAAAUGUUACAAACAGCAUGGGUACCCUCCUGGAGCUAAGUGGAAGAAGGCUCAGACUAUUGGGACUACAAAUCUUGCUGCUGUGACACAACUCCCACCAGUGGUUGAUCAAUCUAGUGAAAAGAAAGAUUAUGAAGAGUUGUCAAAUGAUCAGAUACAGACUGUGAUUUCUUAUCUUAGCAACAAGCUUCAUACUACAUCAGUGGAACCUAUACAGACUCAGUCUUGUGCCUCGACUUCAACUUCUGUACCUGUGAUUUCUCAGAUUUCAGGUACCUUUCUGGCUUUAUACUCUAAUUCUUACUAUGACAUGCUCAUUUCUUCUAUCUCUAAAGAACCGGCUGUGUCUCCUAGAGCUUGGGUAAUAGAUUCAGGGGCUACUCAUCAUGUUACACACAAUAGAAGCCUUUAUAUAGAUUUUAGAGCCUUAGACAAUACCUUUGUAAGACUCCCUAAUGAUUGUACCGUUAGAAUAGUGGGCAUAGGAUACAUUAAGCUAUCUGAUGCAAUCUCUCUCCACAAUGUGCUUUAUAUUCCUGAGUUUAAAUUUAACUUGAUCAGUGUCAGUGUUUUAACAAAGACUUUAAAAUCGAAAGUUAGCUUUACAUCUGAUGAAUGUUUUGUUCAGGAACUUACACAGGAGUUAAUGAUUGGAAAAGGUAGUCAAGUUGGCAAUCUAUAUGUCUUGGAUUUCAAUGAGUCUAAUCAUUCUGUUUCUUUAAAAGGUACCAAUACUAUAUGCUCUGAAAUUUCUGUUUGUUCUUCUGUUGUUGUUGAUUCCUAUACAUGGCAUAAGAGAUUAGGUCACCCUGCUCAUUCAAAAGUUGAUUUGUUAUCUGAUGUUUUGAAUCUCAAAGAUAUAAAGAUAAAUAAAGACUCUUUACCUGUUUGUCAUGUCUGUCACUUGUCAAAACAGAAACAUUUAUCUUUUAAAUCUAGACAAAACAUGUGUAAAUCUGCAUUUGAUUUAGUUCAUAUAGAUACUUGGGGUCCAUUUUCUGUUCCUACUAUAGAUGGUUUUAAAUACUUCUUAACAAUUGUUGAUGAUUAUAGUAGAGCUACUUGGGUCUAUUUGCUAAAGAAUAAAUCAGAUGUUUUGCAUGUUUUUCCUAGUUUCAUUAAUAUGAUUCAAACGCAAUUUCAGAAGAAAGUUAAAUCGGUUAGAUCUGAUAAUGCACAUGAAUUAAAAUUCAAUGAUUUGUUUGCUGAAAAUGGAAUUAUUGCUUAUCAUUCAUGUCCUGAAACUCCAGAACAAAAUUCUGUGGUAGAGAGAAAGCAUCAACAUAUCUUAAAUGUUGCUAGAGCCCUCUUAUUUCAAUCCAAUAUUCCAUUAGAAUUCUGGGGUGAUUGUAUAUUAACAGCUGUGUUCUUAAUAAAUAGACUUCCCACACCUGUUUUGGCAAAUAAAUCUCCUUAUGAAAAGCUUACCAAUACGGCUCCUACUUAUGAAUCUUUAAAGACUUUUGGGUGUUUAUGUUAUAGUUCAACAUCCCCUAAGCAUAGAAAUAAGUUUGAACCUAGGGCUAGAGCUUGUGUUUUCUUAGGAUAUCCCACAGGUUAUAAAGGGUAUAAGCUAUUAGACAUAGAGACACAUGCCGUUUCUAUUUCAAGACAUGUCAUUUUUCAUGAGGAUAUUUUUCCUUUCUUAUCAUCUACUAUCACUGAUGAUAUGAAAGCUUUCUUUCCUCUAUUACAGUUUCCUGCCCAAACCGAUGAUUUGCCUCUUGUGCAAACAUCAAUUCCUGAUGCACAUCCCCAUCAAGAUGUGUCAUCCUCUAAGGCUUUGAUUCCUUCUGAGUCAAAGUCUACUAGACAAAAGAAACCCCCAAAACACUUGCAGGAUUUCCUUUGUUAUAAUAAUACUACUAGUAUUAAUCCUAAUAUACUCUAUCCAAUCACAAAUUAUGUUUCUUAUUCAUAUCUAGCUGAGCCUUUUCGUGCUUUCAUUAAUACCAUCACAAAUGAUAUAAUCCCACAAAGAUAUUCAGAGGCAAAAGACUUUGAUGUAUGGUGUACUGCUAUGAAGGAGGAGAUUGGUGCUAUGACAAGAACUCGCACAUGGAGUAUUUGUUGUUUGCCAGCGAAUAAGAAGGCUAUUGGUUGUAAGUGGGUCUUUACAAUCAAGUAUAAUGCAGAUGGAAGUAUAGAAAGAUACAAGGCGCGCUUAGUGGCAAAAGGUUAUACUCAACAAGAGGGUUUGGAUUAUGAGGAAACAUUCUCUCCUGUUGCCAAGUUAACUUCAGUGAGAAUGAUGUUAUUGUUGGCUGCUAAGUUGAGAUGGUCAAUUCAUCAGCUUGACAUUUCUAAUGCGUUCUUGAAUGGUGAUUUGGAUGAAGAGAUAUAUAUGAAGGUUCCCCCUGGUUAUGCAGAUCUUAUAGGAGAGGCUUUACCUCCUAAUGCUGUGUGUAGAUUGCACAAAUCCAUUUAUGGACUUAAACAAGCCUCGAGACAGUGGUUUCUCAAGCUUUCUGCAACUCUGAAGACCAUGGGAUUUGGGAAAUCUAAUGCUGAUCAUACUUUGUUUACCAAGUAUGUUGAUGGAGUUUUUCUUGGUGUUCUAGUCUACGUGGAUGAUAUCUUGAUUGUCAGUAAUAGUGAUGCUGCAGUGGCAGGAUUUAUAGAAGAACUGAAGAUGUUUUUCAAAUUAAGAGAUCUUGGUACAGCAAAGUACUUCCUUGGUUUGGAGAUAGCCAGAACUGAUGAAGGUAUUUCAAUUUGUCAGAGAAAAUACAUUUUGGAAUUGCUUUCUCUUACUGGUUUUCUUGGAAGUAAACCAUCUGCUGCGCCUAUGGAUCCAAGUGUGAAACUAAGGAAGGAUGUUGGAGUUCCUGUAAGUGAUCCAUCCGCAUAUCGAAAGCUGGUGGGGAAAUUGAUGUAUUUGCAGUUAACAAGACCAGAUAUUGCUUUUGCUGUCAAUACUUUAUGCCAAUUCUCACAUGAUCCAAGAGACAUUCAUUUGACUGCUGUGCAUAAAGUCUUGAGAUAUUUGAAGGGAACAGCAGGGCAGGGUCUGUUUUAUCCUGCAGAUGAUACAUUUGAUCUCCGAGGUUAUACUGAUGCUGAUUGGGGAACUUGUAAAAACAAUAGAAGAUCAGUUACUGGCUACUGCAUGUUCAUUGGUAACUCUCUGGUUUCUUGGCGUUCACAAAAGCAAGAUUCAGUUUCUAUGAGUUCUGCAGAGUCAGAGUUUAGAGCAAUGUCUUCUGGUACUAAGGAAAUGAUUUGGCUUUCUCGGCUUCUUAAUGACUUCAAAGUUCCUUUCAAGCCUCCUGCUUAUCUUUAUUGUGACAAUACUGCUGCAAUUCACAUUGCUAACAAUUCAGUAUUUCAUGAGAGAACAAAGCAUGUGGAACUUGAUUGUUACAAGACCAGGGAGCAGAUUGAUUCUGGUUUUCUUAAGACUAUGUAUGUGAAGACUGAAGAACAAUUAGCAGAUCCUUUAACCAAAGCAUUGUAUCCGGCACCAUUUCGGGAGCUUAUUGCCAAGAUGGGUGUUUGCAACAUCUAUGCACCACUGCCAUCUUGAGGGAGGCUAUUAGAAUCAUAUAGUUAGUCACAUGUUGAUAAUACUUGUAGAUAAUAGCUUACGGUUAAGGGCUCUGGAAUGUCCGGUUUAACCACCUAAAUAAUCAUCUAAUUAAGGUGAUUUCAUUGGUUUAAUUCUGGUUUAGUUGGUUUGUUCACUAUACAUUGUUGUAACAACCUUUCUUGAUCAUUAAUGAGAAUCAGAGAUUUCACCAUGUUUCUCUCUCGAUCCAUGGUUACUAAUAAUUCUAAAGUUUACUCGUCCCCAUAUCCCAAUCCUUGCCAUAAUUGAUUGAUGUCCCGCUGUCUCCAUGUUGUCCCGUUUCUGAAAUGUCCCCGGUCCGGGAAACGGCUACCAAUAGAAGUACCCAUCGUUCAAUUUGGUUGCAUGACUAGUACGUAGUUUUCACCCGAUUUCUAGUGUUCCUUAUUCUCUCGGUUUCAAAACUCUAGAAAGUUGUUAAGGGUUUUAUUACUACACUCUCAACUGAUUUCAUAUCAAUAUAUCUUGAUAAAUUAGAUAAAAUCAAUCAUACUCAAGGGAUGUUCCAGACGGCUGGCAACAAAUCUCGCGAGCUUGUGUGCCUAAUGUAGGAAAUGAGCAUCAAAUGAGAAGGCUACGUGGAGGACAAAGAUUGGUCGAAGCGGGUGAGACACGUGGCAGAAUAACAUUGGUUGGAGCUGGAGAAAGUUGUUAUGAAGACUCUUUAAAACGCAGUCUUUGCUUCUUUUCAUUAUUAUGCAAAAUCUGAGAUUGUAAUCUUCUUCUUCAUUUGGUUCUCUGUUGUUCCUGAGAAUUCUCUGUAAUUCUCAAGCUCUUCCUCAUCGUUUUGCUGGAUCUCUCUUUGAGACUCUUGCAGAUGAGAAGUGGUGCUGCGUUACUUGCGAAUGUUGUAUCCAUUUAUCCUUCUUUGUUUAUUUGAAAUCUAUUUGAUCUUCCUCACCCGAUUUACGUUAUCAGUGCCUAGAACACCGUAACUGCUUUCAUGAGAUUUUUUUAAGAAUUUGCAAUGUUGUUUUAUUUGAUUUACUAUGAUGUGUGGCGUGUAGGAACCAUAAACGUUUUCUUCUUUUGGCACAACAUACUUUCUCACACUUGUACAUUUAUCUCAUGCUUGAAAAAGUGAAAUAAUCUUGAUUCUCAAAGGUUUAUUGUCAUGGGGGAGAGCCAAUUUGACAAGAAAGUCUGAACUGUGUAAAAUGAUAAUGGUGCAGAGUUUAUGUGCAUACGAUUUGAUUUUGAAAAGGAAAAAAUCUUGCAUUGAACAUUGUGCGUCGACAAAAUAGAAAAGUUCAAAAAAUAAUGUCAUAUCUUAAAUGUAGUCAGGUCUUUGUCGAAUCAACCUCAUUUGUCGACACAAUUUGUUUUGUGGUGGGGGAGUGCGUCUUGGCUGCGGACCACUUGAUUAUUUGAGAGUCCCCCACUGAGUUAUUGAAGGAGAAGAUGUUGUAUUUGGAGUACACCACUGUUUGAGAGGCUACAUGAAUUUGGCUGUGUGAUUAUGUCAAUUUACUUAAUCAAAGUUAAGCGAAAUUGGGCUAGAAAUUGUAUCAUAUGGAGACGGGAGAUUUAUUUGUCUCGACUCAAGAGAUGAUAAGGAAACGAACUGUGAUUUUUUGUACCAAAUAAUUAUAGCUCAUUGGAGUUUUUGAUGAAAACUUUCUUGAGCCUUCUUAGCUCUUUGCCACAGCACCGACAAAUACAUGUGGAGUUCUCCAGGGACUUCACCUUUUGUGGUGACAAAUUAUAAUCACACGCGUUCAGAUUAUGAUUAUAUUCUUUAUACUAUUUCAUUUGUUCUAGAGUCCCUGCCUUGAACCAGUGCCAACGUCUUCAUUUUAGGUACGGUGUCUUAUCUUAUCUUAUCCGAUCUAAUCGUUUCUAUGCAAAACAUAUAUAUAGCUACUAUUGUUGGUUCAGAGCCUAGAUCAUACGCGGAGGAAGUUCUUCAUGGGUCUGGCAUGGCUGCUAAGAUAGAUGCUUUGAAGAAAAUGAUACAAGGACGCUUGAAGAACUAAUUAUAGCUUGGCUUGCAAUAAAGAAUCGCGGGAGAUAGAAUGCUAAGUUGGAAUGUCGGAGUAGGUCCCUUAUGUGUUUUCUGUCAUGAACCAUUGGAAAAGGAAAAAAUGAGAGAGAAGCUUCACAUAGUGAUUCUCAAAUAGGAUAGUGUUAUUAAAACUGAAGCCUUCUUGAUCUUGUCAAAUAAGCUAGAGACUGAAGAAAAACAACACACUUUUAUUAUUGUCGACCAAGGCCUCAUAUAUCCUGGUCAAUCACAAACUAAAAGAUCGGAAAGCAACAUUGAACAGAAAACCAAAUCCUCAAAAUAUAACUUAAAGCUCAUCCCUCUUGAUCGCGGAUGGACGAACACCUUGAGCUAGGAAAUCUUUGUAAUACUUGGCUGAUUCUUUCUCAUAACGUGUGAGGUUAUUUUUGAAAUCGACGUAAUAGAGUCCGAAUCUAUUAUUAUAACCAUCUUGCCAUUCAAAGUUAUCCAACAAUGACCAUACAAAGUAUCCCGUAACUCUCACCUUGUCGAUGCUGCGCAUACACAAAUUAAAUGUUCCUAGUUAGAUCAUUCAAUAGAAUUGUUAGUCUAUCAAAUAACAAAUAAUAAAAUGCUUACCAAAUAGCCUCGUUCAUAGCCAGAAGAUGCCUCUGAAGAUAAUAUUUCCUGUUAUGAUCAGCAGUACCAACCUCAACCGAAUCUUUGUCCCUUAGUUUAUCUCCAUAUCCUAGAAAAACAACAUUAAGAUCAAUAUAUAUUACUCUUAACCAAAAUCAUCAACACACAAAUAUAACAAUAAAUCUCGAGUUACCAUUUUCCAUGAUCAUAAUUUCGGGGUUUGCGUAUUUAUCCUUGAUGUACUUUAAAAGACUUCUAAAACCUUUAGCGUAGACGGGCAACGCAGCAGUAAGAGGCUGAAAUAAAACAAUGGAGAAAUGUAUAUUAAUGGUUAUUUGUUACAACAAUCUCAAACUAGGACUAGUUUAAUUAAACGCUUAAUUACCUGACUACCAAUGGCGCUGUGGUCGACAUUCUUAGCUGAAAAAUUUAAAGUGAAAAUGUAUACAUAUCAAUUAGUAUUAAUUAGGAAGUUCAAAAGAGGAACAAACAUUUUUUUCUUUUAGUUUCUUGGUUUGGUUUCAUGUAAGGAAAAAAAAAAACUUACGUUCCCAGGCAACAAGAGAAUCUUGCUUCCAACUUGGUGUAGACGGAUCUGGCUUCUCAUUAUGGUUUGAAAAUGUUGAAGUAUAGUAGUUAAGUCCUACGAAAUCGGUCGAAUCUUUCAAUUUUGCUUUUUGCGCAUUCGUAAAUUUAGGCAAUCUGUGGCCAAGAAGGUCUUUCAUGAUUUGUGGAUAAUCUCCAAAAGUAGUUGGGUCUAGAUGCCUACAAAUAAUAAUCAGAACUCCAUUAAUUAAAUUAAUGAAACUAUACUAUACGAGAACUCAUUGUCUAACAAAAUAUAUACUUACCAUCCCAACAUAAAGUCAAGUACACGGCCGACAGUUGGAGUGUCAUUUGAAUCUUUAAGGUCAUGUGGUUCGAACCAAGCCGGACUAUGUGCGAUUCCGAUUUUCCCACCUUUAACCUAUGUCCAUAAACACAACACAAAACAAACUAUUUUCAAAUCCGAAAGCUGAUAAUUAAUUGUGAUUUAUAUCAAAUGUAACUUACCUUUUGGCGGAAAACUUCAACAGCUUCUGCGUGAGCGUUGAGGAGGUUGUGACUGACUAGAUAAGCCUCAUAACCGGAUCGUCCAUCUCGGUCUUCGCAACCUUUAACGUAACGAGAACAACGUCCUGGUGCCUUCUUGCCUACGUCGUAACCUGCAUGAGCGAAGACCCAUGGCUCGUUGAAAGUGAUCCAGUUUUUCACUUUUCCACCGUAUUCUGUGAAAACAAAAUCUGCAUAUUCCCGGAAAUCUUUUCUGUAUUUUUGCAAAAAAAAAAAGAUAUUAAGUUAAUAAAUUCUACUUGGACUGUCCGAGAAACUUAAUGUAUUUCGUUUAAUUUACAAAAACAUACACAAUGUUUUGGCUUAAGAAACCGCCAUAUUCGUCUUCUAAAUCUUGUGGAGUGUCCCAAUGAAAAACAGUCACGGAAGGAAGUAUGCCUGGUUACAAUGUAAAAUAGAAAGAAAUGUUAAAUAAUGAUACCUUUUUGCUUCUUUUUUUGUUAAGUAAUUAGUUUAGAUGUAUACUAACCAUUUUUUAGGAGCUCAUCGAUGACAUCGUGGUAGAAUUUCACACCAGAUUGACUCACUCCCUUCUCCUUUCUUCCAUCUAAUAAAACAUUAGUUGUUUCAUUAGUUAUUGAUAUUUCAACAAUCACAUAAAUCUAAAUUCACCAAAUUCAGAUUAUAAAUUAAACUAGAGAUCUUUAGCACAUAUAUAUACUCACGAGGAAAUAUUCUUGACCAUGAGAUUGAGAGUCUGAAUGCGUCUGUGUUUAGAUUCUUCAUUAGUUGAAUAUCUUCCUACAAACAUUUUUCAAGACAAGACAAAUUUUCAUUAACAUCUCCUAUAAAAUGGACAAGGCUAUAGAAACUUAAAUUAAAGUUACAUUAAUAAUAUACCUUAUAACGAUGGAAGAAAUCAACGGCCACAUCGGCGUUGUGGCCACUACAUCUCUCUGUAAUUUAAAAAAAGUGAAUGACUAUUCAUUGAUAUUAAUAAGUUAGUUUAAUUUAAUAUCUAAACAUAGAUUAUACGAGCACUCACCUGGAUUUCUCCUACAAAAGAUAUCCCAUAGAGCCGGUCCACGGCAAGUUUCAUUAAUUGCACCUUCAACCUAAUGACAUAACGAAAAUAGUUGAUGAGUUGAUGAAAUAUUCACAUGCACCAAUGAUCUUAGUUGAUAGGUUUUAUCACAUAUUUCGAGCAUGAAAACUUUUAUAUAAAAAUUCAUAUUUAGAUGGCUAAACAAUAUUAACGAUACUUUUUUUUUUUUUUUUUUUAAGCUAUGCUUUAGUAAAUAUGUUGUACCUGAAACGCAGCAGUAGCCGUGCCAAACAAAAAACCGUUAGGGAAACUUGCUCGGCUUAGUUUGGACGUAGUCGGGCAAACAGGAUCAUCGACGGCUAUUGUCGAAGAGACGACGAUGGUUAGGAGCAAAAGCAGCCCCAUGAGAGGAAACUUUUGCAAUGCCAUUUUGGUUUUAAUGUUUUGUCUUGUUGAAAAAAAUAAGUUUAUGGUGACUGUUAAUUUACAUCUAAAACGGAGUUCUUUAUAUAGAGAUUUUGAUUGUUUGGUAAUGAGUGACUAAACUAUAAUUGUUUAGUAAAAUUAUUUUUUAAAUAGAAUGAUUCAUUGCAUAAUCUCGAUCAUUGUGUUCUUGCUUUCUUUGAAACAUAUUAUAUUAUGCGUGGGAUGUAUAAUAUAAAAACGUGUCUUUAAAUAAAUAGUGUUAUGUCCAAAAAAUAAAGUUCUCAAUCUUUUGUUGCAUCUGCUUCUAAAUAAUAUGGCUCAAUUUUUACUGGCUAAGAUAAGUCUACUUCAAAACUCCGGCAGUAUAAAGUACGAUGAUCUCCUCAUACUUUGGUUUAUGCAUAACUGAUGACUUGAUGUAUAUAAUAAAGAAUUUUUUGAUGAAUAAAAUUUCAAAUUCAUUCCAAAAAAAAAAAUAUUAAGGCUCAAUUUUCUAUAUUCGAAUAGUAUCAUUCAACUCAUUUCUCUGUAAAUUAGUAGAUGAAUGAAUUUAAAAUUGAGCCUUAUAUUUCCUUUAUGAUUUGUACAUUUUUCUACUCUUUUUAGUUGAAUCAAUUAAAUUAUUUUUCCAACUUAUUCAGUUCAAGUGGUAAAAGAUUUUUUUUUUUUGGUAUGAAGUUCAAGUGGUAAAAGAUUAAUAAAUGUUCAUUCAACUCUUUCAGUUUUUUUUUUUUUUUUUUUUAAAUUUAAAUCAACCAUUUUUAAUCCCAUAUAAAUUGUUUUGUAGUUCACAGUAGCUAAUCAAACAUCUAAUGUCUUCUUUUUGAUAUGCCAACCAGGCUUCGUUAAUCUUUUUUUUUUUUUUUUAAUUUUGUAUUGUAUAGAUCCAGAUCG
rnacentral:lncRNA from 1 species